rnacentral:rRNA from 1 species
GAUGAACGCUGGCGGCGUGCCUAAUACAUGCAAGUCGAGCGAACAGACGAGGAGCUUGCUCCUCUGACGUUAGCGGCGGACGGGUGAGUAACACGUGGAUAACCUACCUAUAAGACUGGGAUAACUUCGGGAAACCGGAGCUAAUACCGGAUAAUAUAUUGAACCGCAUGGUUCAAUAGUGAAAGACGGUUUUGCUGUCACUUAUAGAUGGAUCCGCGCCGCAUUAGCUAGUUGGUAAGGUAACGGCUUACCAAGGCAACGAUGCGUAGCCGACCUGAGAGGGUGAUCGGCCACACUGGAACUGAGACACGGUCCAGACUCCUACGGGAGGCAGCAGUAGGGAAUCUUCCGCAAAGGGCGAAAGCUUGACGGAGCAACGCCGCGUGAGUGAUGAAGGUGUUCGGAUCGUAAAACUCUGUUAUUAGGGAAGAACAAAUGUGUAAGUAACUAUGCACGUCUUGACGGUACCUAAUCAGAAAGCCACGGCUAACUACGUG